GUUCAGGUGUUUCGGCUGCUCAGGUGUUUCUCAGGAAGAUCAAAUAACCUCCAGAAAGCUGCAAUGAAGAGGUCUCACUCUGAGCCUGUUUCCAAGGACCGAGAGGAAAAGAGAAAUAACUGAGGAGGAAGGAGGAGGAGGGAGAAGGA